rnacentral:rRNA from 1 species
UACAGGGGGUGCAAACGUUGCUCGGAAUUAUUGGGCGUAAAGCGCGCGUAGGCGGCUACCUAAGUCGGAUGUGAAAGCCCCUGGCUUAACUGGGGAAGUGCACCCGAAACUGAGUAGCUAGAGUGCGAAAGAGGGUCGCGGAAUUCCCGGUGUAGAGGUGAAAUUCGUAGAUAUCGGGAGGAACACCGGUGGCGAAGGCGGCGACCUGGGUCGACACUGACGCUGAGACGCGAAAGCGUGGGGAGCAAACAGG